rfam:Tupaia chinensis contig4926, whole genome shotgun sequence.
ACCCUCUGGUUCCCUUUUCUAUUGGAUCUGAACCCUGGUCUUGGUGGUGGUUGUAAAAGAAAGGAAAGCAAUACUAAAGCUGACCUCCGGUGGUGUAGUCUGGCUACACUGUGGGGCUGGUUUCAGACAAUC